AUAUUUCUCUCACAGUCAACUCUGCCAGCGUGUGAAGUGCCCUGUUGACAUCUUGCUUCGGGAAGUCUCAGCUUUUUCCUUGUAGAGGUGAGAGUGAUGACUUCCAAAUUCCUUAUGUGCCAGAUCAGAAAACGGAAGUCAGAAUGCCUGCAUGUGACUGGACCCUUUGGACACAGUCUUGCUGUUGUCCCUCAUUCUUGCUGGAAGCCACCUGACCACUGCCAGGAAGAGGAAUGCAAAACAUUCCCAGGAGCAGCCCUGACGUCAGCGCCGCAUUCCACCUCUCCGCGGUCAGAGCUGUCGGGAAGCUCCCGCCUCCAGCCAAACCCCGGCAAGAGAUAGCAGCUGAGGCCUGCACUAAAUCAUACUAAGAACUCCUUCAUGUUAUUCUUUGAAGACGCGCAGAAUCUUCCUCUUAAAAAACAAAACAGAGCAAGGCAAAGUAAAGCAAAGCAAAAUAAAACCCAAAAACA